rnacentral:rRNA from 1 species
UGGGGAAUAUUGCACAAUGGGCGCAAGCCUGAUGCAGCCAUGCCGCGUGUGUGAAGAAGGCCUUCGGGUUGUAAAGCACUUUCAGCGAGGAGGAAGGGUAGUGUGUUAAUAGCACAUUGCAUUGACGUUACUCGCAGAAGAAGCACCGGCUAACUCCGUGCAAGCAGCCGCGGUAAUACGGAGGGUGCAAGCGUUAAUCGGAAUUACUGGGCGUAAAGCGCACGCAGGCGGUUUGUUAAGUCAGAUGUGAAAUCCCCGCGCUUAACGUGGGAACUGCAUUUGAAACUGGCAAGCUAGAGUCUUGUAGAGGGGGGUAGAAUUCCAGGUGUAGCGGUGAAAUGCGUAGAGAUCUGGAGGAAUACCGGUGGCGAAGGCGGCCCCCUGGACAAAGACUGACGCUCAGGUGCGAAAGCGUGGGGAGCAAACA